UUAAAACAUCACUAUUUGAGGAUGCAUGUAUAUUAAAAAAACAUCCUCAGAGCUUCUGAGGAUGCAUGUGUAUUAAAAAUUAAUAUUUGAUUGUUCGAUAUCUUAAUAUCAGAAUAUACGAUUUGACAAGCCCGGAACUAUUUCUCAAACAAUAUGUCAACAAUAUGUCCAGCAGGACAAAUCAAAUAAAUUAAACCAGAAAUUCAUUUCUGUCUUCCUCAAAUCAAUUCCAAUAGUUGAUUGAAGGAUGAUUAUGAGGAAGAGAUGAUCAUUAUGUCGACCAACUUUUGAGCUUAGCAGACUUUAUUGGUUGUGUUUGCCUUCGAUGUGUGCUUAAUCAUUAUCAUUUUCAACAAACAGUUGUAAAAGAAUCAACAAUUGAGUUAGAUGCGGAUAACAGUAACUAUAAAAACUUGAAAUUUUAAACUAUGAGACAACAUGAAAGUCAAAUAUGAGCAAAUAUAGCUGUUUAAUAGAAAGAUGGUACUUUCAAGGAAGAAAGAAAAUAUAGAUAAGGUCGGAGGGCAAGACAAAAGAAUUAUGGGAAGGGACGGAUGCUAUAUAACCCCACUUGCUUUUCUGGCAUGUGUGAUACACAUGACAAAAUUUAAGUUUUAUUCAAACUGUAAUAUCAAUGGAUGUUCCUUAUUCAUUUCAUGAAGACAAACAAAAAAAUCAAUUUACUGGACCAUUCAGGCCUAACUUCAUCCAUCAAGGAAGAAAGAAAAUAUAGAUAAGGUCGGAGGGCAAGACAAAAGAAUUAUGGGAAGGGACGGAUGCUAUAUAACCCCACUUGCUUUUCUGGCAUGUGUGAUACACAUGACAAAAUUUAAGUUUUAUUCAAACUGUAAUAUCAAUGGAUGUUCCUUAUUCAUUUCAUGAAGACAAACAAAAAAAUCAAUUUACUGGACCAUUCAGGCCUAACUUCAUCCAAGUUGGUCAGAAAUUAGUAUUUCUUUGUUUAGUUGCUUAGAAUCAGAACAGUUCAUGACGGUAAUCAACAGGAAAAUCCUACACCAAUUCACAACAAACGUACAUAUACAUAACAUACUUCUGACACUUACAAAGAUGCCCAACAUUAUGUUCAGACAUUGGAUCAGCUACAAUUGCAAUAAUUGAUUUAUCCAAAACACAUAUGUAUCCUUCAAAUGCAUCAAAAAAAUCAGAUUUGUUGGAUGUUUCCCAGUAAGAUGUUUGGCAUCCACCAGGCACACAGCAGAUAUUGCAAGUAGCUCUGUAAGGAGGUACAGAUCUCAAAAGUUUGUGAUCCAUCUGUCAUCAUGCAAUUUGUAAUGGCCCAAAGGAGAAGGGUGACAAUGGUUCACAUAACCAUCUGCCCCCAUUUCACCAUGAGCAAAAUAAUUGACACCAGGUACAGUCAGAUCCACUGAAAGACCACACUCAUAUAUUCCAAACAGGACCAGAAAAGCCACGAUAAUGGAUCUAGUCAAAUUAUGCUAAUCAUAUCAACCUCAAUGCACAAAAUUCCUUAUUGACCAGCAAAGUAUCACAUGAUAAGUAUCAAAAUUUUGCCAUGUAC
rnacentral:lncRNA from 1 species